rnacentral:ncRNA from 1 species
ACAAAGGCAGGGAGAGGGACGGCAGGUUCCGGAUUCCGUUUACAGAGAGCCGGUGGUUGGUGGAAACCGGCAGCGGAGGGGAUUUUGUUUAUCACCCUUGAGCCGGGCACUCAAAACGGUUGUGAGUAGGUGUCUCCGCUGGACAGCGUUACAGGUCAGGAGCUUGUUGGAGCUCUGAUGAGAGGCGCAGAUCUGCGCAAUGCGGGUGGUACCGCGGGUAUGUUUGGUAAAAACAGGCUCGUCCCAGUG